rnacentral:rRNA from 1 species
GAUGAACGCUGGCGGCGUGCCUAAUACAUGCAAGUCGAGCGAACAGACGAGAAGCUUGCUCCUCUGAUGUUAGCGGCGGACGGGUGAGUAACACGUGGAUAACCUACCUAUAAGACUGGGAUAACUUCGGGAAACCGAAGCUAAUACCGGAUAAUAUUUUGAACCGCAUGGUUCAAAAGUGAAAGACGUUCUUGCUGUCACUUAUAGGUGGAUCCGCGCUGCAUUAGCUAGUUGGUAAGGUAACGGCUGACCAAGGCAACGAUGCGUAGCCGACCUGAGAGGGUGAGCGGCCACACUGGAACUGAGACACGGCCCAGACUCCAACGGGAGGCAGCAGUAGGGAAUCUUCCGCAAUGGGCGAAAGAAUGACGGAGCAACGCCGCGUGAGUGAUGAAGGUCUUCGGAUCGUAAAACUCUGUUAUUAGGGAAGAAAAGAUGUGUAAGUAACUAUGCACAUCAUGACGGUACCUAAUCAGAAAGCCACGGCUAACUACGUG